GUUUUGAUAAUUUAAAUUUUAAAAUAUUGGUCUUGUAAACCAAAAAUAAUUAACUUUUCAAAACA
rnacentral:tRNA from 1 species